rnacentral:lncRNA from 1 species
CUGAUUUUGAAGUUUUGAUGAUUCCUGUAAGGUAGAAUAAAAAACAUCACCAAACUCAGCAAAUAACUUUCAAAGAAGAUAUCAUUAAUGAAUAAGUGAAGAGAAAAUGCUUGUAGAUAAAGUGGCUUGAUGUCCAGGAUGGGAAAACACUGGUAAAAAUUUCCCUGCUUAAAAGAGGAAAUCAUGUUCUUGAACUUGUAUUACUCAUCAAUGAAAUGCAUAGCUCUGAUAACAAAUACGAAGUAUCCUGAGCCUGCCAUCUAACACAUCCAUAGACAUGCUGUGAAAAAGGAAAGGAACAGCUAAUGGAUGUCUUGGAGCAUUUAUUGAGAGGGAGAAAAAAGAGAAAAGCAAUAUUCACUUUGAAAGUUGCAACUUUGAAAGGUGCUGCAUUACUAUGCUUUGUAAUCCUUACUUCUUCUCUUUCUUAGGUAGAAAUGGUUAUUUUAAGACUGGACUUAUACUGUGAGGUGAAAGUAAAAUAAGCCAAAAUUUUUCUAUGAGAAAAAAUUAAGUGAUGAUAAAACCAUUUGCAAAAGUAAAAUCUGAAAAUAUGAAUGUGUAAUUUAUACAUACAUGUAAAAUAUUCCAAUAUGUA